GGGGUUGUGGCUCAGUGGUAGAGUGCUUGCCUAGUGCAUGUAAGGCACUGGGUUUGAUACCCAGCAUCCCA
rnacentral:tRNA from 1 species